ACGGGCAGACUAGAGUGCGGUAGGGGAGAUUGGAAUUCCUGGUGUAGCGGUGGAAUGCGCAGAUAUCAGGAGGAACACCGAUGGCGAAGGCAGAUCUCUGGGCCGUAACUGACGCUGAGGAGCGAAAGCAUGGGGAGCGAACAGGAUUAGAUACCCUGGUAGUCCAUGCCGUAAACGUUGGGAACUAGAUGUGGGGACCAUUCCACGGUCUCCGUGUCGCAGCUAACGCAUUAAGUUCCCCGCCUGGGGAGUACGGCCGCAAGGCUAAAACUCAAAGGAAUUGACGGGGGCCCGCACAAGCGGCGGAGCAUGCGGAUUAAUUCGAUGCAACGCGAAGAACCUUACCAAGGCUUGACAUAUACCGGAAACGCGCAGAGAUGUGCGCCCCGCAAGGUCGGUAUACAGGUGGUGCAUGGUUGUCGUCAGCUCGUGUCGUGAGAUGUUGGGUUAAGUCCCGCAACGAGCGCAACCCUCGUUCUAUGUUGCCAGCACGUAAUGGUGGGAACUCAUAGGAGACUGCCGGGGUCAACUCGGAGGAAGGUGGGGAUGACGUCAAAUCAUCAUGCCCCUUAUGUCUUGGGCUUCACGCAUGCUACAAUGG
rnacentral:rRNA from 1 species